rnacentral:lncRNA from 1 species
GAGCCUCCAUUACCAAAAUUCCAAAAAGUUGUGCAAUAAUAUCUUAGACAUCCUUCGAUGACCAUGCACCUAACAUGUAAAGACAGAGGAUCUAAUACUACACCAGAUCCAAUCAUCUAAAGAAGAAGUUUCACUGGGGUAGUAUUAUCUUUGCUUGUCACGAAAGACGUGUCUGUUAUAUUCACAGUGUUAUAUAUAUAUUUAGAUAAAAUAAGAAUG